rnacentral:rRNA from 1 species
UGGGGAAUAUUGCACAAUGGGCGCAAGCCUGAUGCAGCCAUGCCGCGUGUGUGAAGAAGGCCUCGGGUUGUAAAGCACUUUCAGCGAGGAGGAAGGUGGUGAGCUUAAUACGCUCAUCAAUUGACGUUACUCGCAGAAGAAGCACCGGCUAACUCCGUGCCAGCAGCCGCGGUAAUACGGAGGGUGCAAGCGUUAAUCGGAAUUACUGGGCGUAAAGCGCACGCAGGCGGUUUGUUAAGUCAGAUGUGAAAUCCCCGGGCUCAACCUGGGAACUGCAUUUGAAACUGGCAAGCUAGAGUCUCGUAGAGGGGGGUAGAAUUCCAGGUGUAGCGGUGAAAUGCGUAGAGAUCUGGAGGAAUACCGGUGGCGAAGGCGGCCCCCUGGACGAAGACUGACGCUCAGGUGCGAAAGCGUGGGGCAGCAAACAGGAUUAGAUACCCUGGUAGUCCACGCUGUAAAACGAUGUCGAUUUUGGAGGUUGUGCCCCUUGAGGCGUGGCUUCCGGAGCUAACGCGUUAAAUCGACCGCCUGGGGAGUACGGCCNCAAGGUUAAAACUCAAAUGAAUUG